UGAGGAAUAUUGGGCAAUGCCCGCAAGGGUGACCCAGCAACGCCGCGUGGAGGGAGAAUGUCGUAAGAUUGUAAACUCCUGUUAGAGGGGAAGAAUAGUACCGGUUGGACCGGUAUAUGACUGUACCCUCAGAGAAAGCCCCGGCUAACUACGUGCCAGCAGCCGCGGUAAUACGUAGGGGGCAAGCGUUGUCCGGAUUUACCGGGUGUAAAGGGCGCGCAGGCGGGAUAAAAAGUCAGUGGUGAAAUCCUACAGCUUAACUGUAGAACUGCCUUGUAUACUUUUAUUCUUGAGUUCGGGAGAGAGAGACGGAAUUCCAGGUGUAGUGGUGAAAUACGUAGAUAUCUGGAAGAACACCAGUUGCGAAGGCGGUCUCUUGGUCCGACACUGACGCUGAGGCGCGAAAGCGUGGGGAGCAAACA
rnacentral:rRNA from 1 species